rnacentral:rRNA from 1 species
AGCAGCCGCGGUAAUUCCAGCUCCAAUAGCGUAUAUUAAAGUUGUUGCAGCUAAAAAGCUCGCAGUUGAACUUCGGGAUCAAUUGAUUGGUCAUGCCUUGGUAUGUACUGUUCAUAUUGGUUCUCACCUUCUAAUGAACCAUAAUGUCAUUUAUUUGAUGUUAUGGGGAAUUAGGACUGUUACCUUGAAAAAAUUAGAGUGUUUAAAGCAGGCUCACGCUUGAAUACAUUAGCAUGGAAUAAUGAAAUAGGACAUCGCAUUCUAUUUUGUUGGUUUCUAGGAUCGAUGUAAUGAUUAAUAGGGAUAGUUGGGGGCAUUAGUAUUCAAUUGUCAGAGGUGAAAUUCUUGGAUUUAUUGAAGACUAACUACUGCGAAAGCAUUUGCCAAGGAUGUUUUCAUUAAUCAAGAACGAAAGUUAGGGGAUCGAAGACGAUCAGAUACCGUCGUAGUCUUAACCAUAAACUAUGCCGACUAGGGAUCGGAUGAUGUUGUU